rnacentral:lncRNA from 1 species
GGCUUGAAGAGGCAACUCCACAGCUCUCUUCUCCUCCUCUAGUCUCUUUUCUCCCUUCCAUCUUGUGAUAGUUUUAGUACUACAAGUAGCACAGUAUCUCAAAACUGGACCCAUUAGCAACUUUUUUUCCCAAGCCUCCAAGCAGCAUGGUCGGCCCUUCAAUGCUUAACACAUACAAAUAUAACGUAACCCUUAAAUCCUCUCCAACCACCAUCAAAUUUCUUUGCAGCUAUGGCGGCAAGAUCCUCCCCCGUUAUCCUGAUGGCAAGCUCCGUUAUCAUGGUGGUGAAACCCGUGUCCUUGCUGUUGAACGUUCCAUUUCCUUUUCUGGUUAGUUCUUUUUCUCUAUAUCAAUCAGCAGAAAUCUCCUAUAGCUCCAGCAUACAUGUACAUGUAUCGGAGAAAAAAGUGUGCGUGUGUGUAUUCAAUAGCAUGAGAUUGGGAUUUGUAAAUACCGAAAUGGUGAAUUUUAAUGUUAUAUGGAUUGUUUUUGUGGUGGCAGAGCUAGUGAUGAAGCUGGGGGAGAUGUGUGGAGCAUCAGUUAGUCUAAGAUGUCAAUUGCCAACAGAAGAUAUGGAUGCACUUGUUUCGAUCACCUCGGAUGAGGAUCUUGCCAAUCUCAUCGAGGAAUAUGAUCUAGCUGCGGUCUCAGCCUCACCAACCACUAAUAAUGCCCUCAAGAUCAGAGCUUUCCUUUCAACCCCUUAUAAACCUACCACCAAGAAAUCGUCUCCCUCCCAUUCCAUUGCCUCCUUUUCUACUAGUAGCAAUGAGGCUACUUCUCCAGUUUAUUCCCCAGCACCUGCUGCUUCCCCUAGCCUGAUCAGCUUUAGGCGUCCAAUUAAAUCAGCUGCAACUGAUAGGUGCGUCCAUCAGAUCAUGUCCAGGCCAGCCGUUGCAUACCCCCAUCCCCUGAUGACUUAUGAGAAAGCUGCUGCAAAGGGGCUUCCUCAUCAUCAGUAUGUCUACUGUGGCCCUGGAAAAGCUAGCAGCCAUGUAUAUCUCAUUCAACAUGGCAACCACUGGCAAUAGCAGGGUCCUAUAAAUAUCCGAUCGAUCCACCUGGACUAUAUCUUCCCCUGCCAGCGGAAGAUAAACACCAGGAAAGAUGAACCUGAUAAUAUAGGUUGAUAUAUUGCUAUAUUCAAGAAAGAAGUGGGCAAAAAAGCUUGGCCAAGCAGACGCAGAUAUAUUUAAUGUAAGAAGCUACUGUAAAUCAUCUUACAGAAGGGAUUGUCUUUUUUGUUAAUCCUUAAGAAGCCAAUUAAUAGAAAUUUUACUACCUCGUCGUCCAAUUUUGUAAUGGGACCGCAUCGUCAAAAAUCCAAUUGUGAUGGUGUGUGUUUUGCAAUUAAUCAGGCCAUUCUGCUAUGCUGCUUUUUCCACUAGUCCAAACGAUAUGAUUACAAACAGCCGUCGAUCCAAUGUUGUUGUUUAUAUUACUUUCAUCUUUUCAUCAUCUGAUAGAAGUUCAUAUGCAUUUUGUAACACGUAACUAUAUUUUCUGUGGACGUUUAUUAUCCUGUUUUUAUGCUCCUCGUUUCACUAUGGAUUGGAGUAUGCGAUCUUAUUUCAUUUUCAUCACAUUUGAGUUUUUACUAACGUGUUGCUCCUUUUUUUUUUAAAAUGGUAAAAUUUUCUGAAUCAUGUUUGUUGUUGGCACUGGAAUUUUUGUUGCUAAUUCUGAUAUUUGCAUUUUGCCCUUGCAGGUGCGGCAAGAUAUGAACACUGAUGUCCAGUGGAUCAAAUUCCAAUGUCCUCAAGGUCAAUCUGCAAGAAAGUGUGCUCCAUCUUUAGCAGCGAAGAUCCAUAACUCGGUUUCUUCACCUUAAUUGUUUUUCAGCGUCAAAUAUCUAUUGAAAUUUCAAAAUAUUCCGACUUUGUGGUUUCAAAAGGUGUCAAAAGUGAUUUUCAAUGUUUUAGUGCACUGCACAAAAAACGAUCCCGCAUUUUGUAAAAAUCUCCCGCAUUACCUGAUAUACAGUCACGAUUAGCUAAAGCUAGAAAACAAUCCAACAUGACUUUUGAUUCUGCAAAAUUUUAUUUGGCCGAAUUUGUUUAGCUCAUAAAGUGCAGACCUGUUCAUAUUGCCUAAUGAAGUUUGGCUGAUCCCAAAAGUUUUGCACGUAACAAGUUUGUGUGUUUUGAGAAGAAUUCCCAUUGGAUGAAAGAGUGCCAACUUGGACGUGACUCAGAGUGUACUUACUUAAUGGGGUAUGGUAUUUUUUUAUUUGUUUAUUAUAUCCACCAUACAAAAUAUCGUGAUUUUUAUGCUUUGUUUUUUUUUUUUUCCCUUGCACUAUUUUAAUGCUAUUUGUUGUAUUAAUUCUGACAGGGAAGGAAGUGAUAUGGAGUUAAAUUGACUUGGGGUAUCCAUUUCAUUUUCUAGACCAGGUCAGGUGGAGCCUGGAGGACUUGGAAGAAGCCGAUUGCAUAUUGUCUCUACAAACUACUAGAAAAACGGACCAACUGAAAAAAAGAUAAUAACAAAAUAGUUAUAAUAAAUGAAGAAGAGGCUGAAUGUGGAAUUCAUUGGACGGGGCCAACACUGGAAAACAGAGUGGAAUAAUUCUGCUCGGGCAAGGAACUCUUCUUUCGAAUGAAAGGGAGUAACAAUUAACGUCAAGACAGAGGAGACAUUUGCCUGAGAAAAAAAUGAAAAUGAAGGCGACAUAUGAAUUGAUGGCUGAUGGCCAAGUGACAGCUGGAGCAAGAAAUGGACCAAUUAUUGUUGAGACUACAUUGAAAAAAUUAUUUUAACAAAAUCGAAAUCGAAGGGAAAAAGAUAGAAAGGAAAGGGACCCUUUUCUUUUUUUAUAUUUCUUCCUAUCAAAGAGAUGUGGAGGAAGAUGAAUGCUGCCAUAAUUUCGGGUGCAAAAGAAAUGCUGCCAUUCAUCAAUUGAGGGCAGAUGAGAUAUGAGCGAAGUAAUCAAAAGGACACGAAGAUAGGAAGGGAAUCAAUUUUUUUUUUCUUUUUUCAUUUUGAAAGGGAAUCAAUUUUUGAAGAUAAAAUAAAAAGUGGUUUAAGGUUAUCCUACCCCACCAAUGUUCUGAUCUUUUCAUCGCUUGGAGGAAAAGACUUUUGCCAGGCGAGGCCCGGGCACACCUUCCACUCAGAAUUAAGCCUGUUCUUCUCCUCUUGACUAUGGAUGGGAUCACGAUCAAAGUGUUCGGUGCUGUGGGAACGUCAGCAUCAAAGUGUGGUGUGGUCUGUGGAGCCAUUGCAGCUGUGUCAUUAUAUAUUUAUUAGUAUUAUAGGGUUUUUGAAGAGUGAACAUAUAUGGAUGGAUCAUGGAGAAAGAACAAUGGAAAGUUUAUCUGCAGUUGGGAAAGAUAACUUGGGGUCAUUCCAGGGUUGGAAUGGGUAAAGGAAAUUGUGAGACUCGUGAGAAAGAGAGAGUUGAAUUGAACGCAUAGAUAGAAAGAAAGGACGUUUUCCAGUGAAAUUGUCAUCUAUCCCUGUCUGAACCAGCAGAUGCGUAAAGAAAAAUGAUAAGGUUAUCUUUUUCUUCAGUAAACAAAACUACAUUAGCAGACACAAAACAAUCGCAAUCCCACGACCUAACGAUAUUUGGCUUGAUUUCAGUGUUCUGACUUGGAACUUCCCUCCUUGAUCCUUCUUUUUUUAUCCUACUAUAUAAAUAUAUGUUUUCAUUUAACGCCAAAUUAGGUAAUGCCGAAUACUGGUUCUUGCUCCAUUAGAUGAAAGUUAAUUGAAAAGAAAAGUGGAAUCCGAGCACAGCCCCCCUCCCUGUAGGGAAAUUAAAUGCUAUACGUAAUUAAAUUAACCAAAGACGAAUACCACUACUUACAACUUACAAGAGAAGGAUGCCUAAUCCAAUACGCACUUUACGUAUUGGUCCUUACCUUCUCAUAUUAGCAGCCACAAACAAGGGAGAGCAUGCAAUGAUGAUUAUUAUUACUGAUUAUUAAGGGGAGAAAAUCUCCAUCUUAUCCGAUGAAGUGGUGGGGUCAAGUUGGAUUAGGAUGGAUGAAAACGAAAUCUACAGUCAUGGGGUGGUGUCAUAAUAAUUUUGAUUAGAUCAUGAGAAAGGAAAUAAUUCAACUAUACAAUAGUAACAACAAUAUUGCAGUGCAUGGCCGGUGUCUGAUAACACAACCAAUGGACGAUAGUUGGUUGUUAUUAUUAUCUCUUCAUCUCUUGAAGAUAAAUUAACUUCGACAGUAUGUAUAUAGUAUUCCCAAUACAUUCCCUUUUCCUUGUCUUUUUUGUGUAUCGUACGUAUCAGGAAAUGCCACCACAUAAUGUAGCCUUAUCUCGUAUUGGUCCGGAAUGCUAUUUCUGUCUAGAUUAAUGCUAAAAGGGCGGAGCAGAAACAGUAGUGAUUUACUUCUUAAUUCUUAAAAAGCUUUCACAUCAAAGUAUUGGCAUGAUCAUGGACCAGCAAAGAACCUCUUGUAGCUAGCCGUAAUAAUACGUAGUAAUAUAUUCAUGCGUCUGGGAUUCAUUGUUGAUGAGGUCCCGUCAAGAUAAUGAACUGCAAGCAUUUGUAGCAGUAGAUGGCGACGAUGAAGAUAAGCAAUAUGAUAUGGAAUAAUGAAUGCUCAGUCUACUUCUGUCCAGCACGAGCUAGGGAUGGAUGGUAACGACACUCGAGAGAAAAUUGGAAUGCCCCAUUCUCCUUCUUAAUUGGUGCAGCCGUUGUUUCUGGUAAACUUUUUCUAGACAUGGGACGUGUUUUUCCAGGGAGUUGAGUUGAGAAGCAGUUGUUUUCGUCUAGGCACAAUCAGUUCCUAGUCCCACUGUUUCUUGAUAAACAACCUCUAAUAUUGGGUUAAACCAAUACAAUUGAGUUGCGUCUCAUGAGUUCAUACUUGGAUAACUAUGGAUGACAAAACUGAGCUGUCCAGAGGUAACACUUACAAAUAAAUUGUUAUGCAUCUGUGGAAACAUAACCAUUUAUAUAAAUUUUGUGGACUGCGACUAUAUAAGAAGCAAAAAGGAAUAAACAGAAGAAAGGAGAGUACACCUUUGUUUCUUACAAAAAUUGAGUUAUGCCUCUUAAAUUCUGUAAUCACAUUAACAACCAUUCAGGUAUUGAAUUAGACUACGUAAUCUUUUAUAGAGUUUGUUAAAAAAAAUCGUAUUUUAAUCGCAAAAAUUUUCACAUUAGGAUGUUUUUGGAAUUAAAGAGCUAGAAGUAUCAAAAAAACAGUAAAUAAUAGAGAAGUGAACAUAAUUAUAUGGAUGAGGACAUUUGUUUCCCGCUCCACCCUUAUAAGCAAUUUAAAGGACAAAUAAAUAAAUAAAAACUUUUGGGGAGAUUAAUAAAUUUAGAACAAAUUAAGGGGCCACUCCUGCAGUUAUGACAAAAUUUAGAGGAGAGAAGUACAAUUUAGGGAAAUAUGGAGGGAACCAAAACCCGGUCGAGUAGUUUAAACCGACCCAAAAUGACAACAAACCAAAUCACCGUCUUCAAAGUAGCCUUUCCAUAAACCCUAAACCCCGUAAUUUCCUCUUUCCCCCUUCAAUCCCAAAAAGAAAAGAAGACCCGAAUAAGCUAAUCAAUCAUCAUCAACCCAGAUCAAAAUGCAGCACGACGAAGUAAUAUGGCAAGUUAUCAGACACAAUCACUGCAGUUUUAUGGCCAAGUAAGCUCCUUUUUGUUGUUCUUUCUGCUCCUCAAUUUCUAACUUGAUGGAUUUGUUAGUAUUUUUUGUUUUUUUUUAGCUUUAAUUUUAUGGGUUUGGGUUUUGGGUGUUUAAUUUUAGAAUUGAAACGGGGAAUUUUUGUCGAAACCCGUAUAACGUCACUGGAGUGUGUAAUCGGAGCUCUUGCCCUCUUGCUAAUAGUCGCUACGCCACCAUCCGUGAUCAUGAAGGUACUAUUUGUUCUUUCCAUCCGUGAACAAUUUCACCUCUUUUUGUUUUCUAGACUGGGUUUUUUUACUGUAUUACUUUUUGUAGUCAAUUAUAUUUUGCCUCUUACAAAAUGUAGUAUGGAACUCGAAGAAAUGAAUUGGAAAAUAACUAAUUAUGUUGUGACUUAAUGCAUUUGUUAUGAUCUUUGACUGGCUGCUCGUUUAACAAAAAUGGUGGAGAAUGGGCACCAGGGUUGCACAUGGUUUAGGGCUAAAAGACAAAUUAGAUUAUUUGAUACUGAAAUCGUUCUUGGCUUAAUAAGAGCUUGGUUGAGUUUAGGUAUUCAACUAAUCAAAUUAAGCUCCAGCAAGAUUUAGUUUCAAUAGCUUCCAAGUUGAGAGCAAUAAACAUAAAAAACUCAAAUAUAGCUAUAGCUAGAUCAAUCUGUCUGAGCUCUAGUUGAGCUCAGUUUGAUAAAAGUCCAUUCAAGCUGGAAUGGGUAAUGAUCAAGUCGAGCUCCAAAGUUCAUUAAUAACUUGUUAAAGAAAAUUAAACAAGCCUGUGGAGGCAGCUUUCUUGUUCUGUGGAGCAACGUACUCCAGGUGUUGUAUUCUUGCCUUAUUUUCCCCUAGGAAAAAUAGGUUUUUCAAGGAGGUGUUGUAGGCCAUCAUUUGCCCUUAAGGAAAAGGCCGUGUCUUGUUAAAUAUGCGUCCUCAGUUUAUUUAACAUCUUCUGUAAAGGAGUCGUUCUAAAAUAUUUUCUCUGCACUGGUUUAUUAUGGAUGUUUCUGUUUAAUGAUUGAUAGUGUUAUUGCCUAGAAGAUUUGACUUUGAAAUCUUGCAUAUUAAAUAAAUUAAUUUAGUUUUGCUUGUACAGUUGCUCACACCUUGAUGUUAUUGGUUUAUUGUUUAACCAGACAAUGUUGUGGUCUUCAUUUUCUGCAGGAGUGUUCUAUCUAUACAUGAAAACUAUAGAAAGGGCCCAUAUGCCAAAUAAACUGUGGGAAAGAGUUAAAUUGCCUAGAAAUUAUGAGAAAGCACUUGAAGUCAUCGACAAACAUUUGGUAACUAAAAUCUUGUAUUGUGUUAAUCUGUUUUUUGCAUUUGACUGAUCAAUAUAUGCUAUUGUGCUAGGCACCAUAUUCCUUGCUAAAUUUCUUUCUCUUUCUCCUUGACAGAUGUAUUGGCCAAAAUUCCUUGUUCAUAAAACAAAACAACGAUUAACUAAGAUGACCCAGAUGCGAAUACGCAUGAGGAAGCUUGCAUUAAAAACGAGGUUCAUGCUUCUUUUACUGUCUGUGUUGCUCUCUUUUCAAAUCUGUCAAUUGAAGUUGUAAAUACUUGAUACCGGAUUGCUAUGAGUACACCUAAUGAUUGUUGUGCUCAUGGUUUUAAUUGGUGAGAAAGCUUAUCUUUAAGUGCAUAUUUGGUUUGACUGCCAGAAUAACUUGUUCAAGUUGGCAAAGUAAACAAUAGGCUAGCCAAAUAUUUACUUAGCUAUAACCCCUUGACAUUUUUCAUGUGAAGACUGGAUUUUGCUAAACAAUUAAGCCUUGAAUGCAUAUGUUUCUACUUAUCAUGUGAAAAGAGAAUGAACAUUUCUAUACAGGUCCAACUGAAAGUGCUUGUGUCAUGAUUCAAUAGAAAUCCUAUUGUAUGUAUCAAGAAUAUGCAGGGGGAAAAAAAAAACUUGUCAGUUGUGGGGGUGAUGAUUUUCUUUGUUUGGAAGCUUUCUUUUGCCUUGAUUUUUCUCUUUUGUAUGGCCUUAUUAUAAAUAUAACCAUUGCCUCUAUAUUCUUAUCUCCUUUCACAGCAAUAUAAUUACAUUACAAAAUUUUUGUGGUUUAAUAUGCUCUUCUUAGGGUAUAACUUUUCCUCUUUACUUGAUUUCUUCAGGGAGAAGAUAAUGACCACACCCAGAAAGGAGAAGAAAAGAGAGGCUCGGAGAGAAGAAAAGGCUGAAAAGGCCGCAGUUUUGGAUAAGGUUUUGUAUGACUAGCUGUCAUGUCUAACUUUCUAAUUCGCUAAUUUUUCAUGAGUUUAUGUAGUGGAAUGUAUGAAAUGUUUUUCCCAUUUACUCAUGUUUUCAGCAAUUAUGCAGAGUAUUGAAAAGGAAUUGCUUGAACGCCUCAAGCGCGGAGUGUAUGGUGACAUAUAUAAUUAUCCUGUCAAAGAGUACAAUAAAGUUCUUGACAUGGAAAGGCAGCAGGCUGCUAGUGAAGAUGAAGAUGAGGUCUAAACUACAUAAAACUUCUGAACUUGACAUUUUCUUGCAUUUUCGGCCCUUUGUUUCUGCUUUUUGAUUUUUCUUGGGGUUUGUUUUAGGUAGAAUGCAUACUGACAAACUUCUGUACAACUGAUUUUAUUAGCAGGAAGGUGAGAUAGAGUAUGUUGAAGGGUACGAAGAACUUGAAGAGGAAGAAGAUAUGGAAGACUUAGGUGACCUGGCAAUAGGUGCAGAUGAUGACACUGGUAACACUGAAUAUUUGAUCAUGCUAUUCUCAUUUAGGUUUCUGUUAGUUGUUAUCCUCGUCAUUUGUUCCCUUCUGUACAUUUUCCCUUUAGAAGUGUCUGCUUGUACAUAUGUAACCGUUUUACAGAAGGCACCUCUGAUUUCAUGUAUUCAUUGUUUGUGGUUGUGUCUAUCUGUUGGAGAUAAGGAAAAGAUAAUGGUUGUAAUUGGUAGUACCCCUCAAGCCAGUUGAAAGUGCAUAUGAAAUGGGAACAUAAGAUUCUAAAAUUGCUUAUUGAUGAUGUAGUUGGAAUCAGCGAUGAUGAUGAAGAACACGUUACAGCUACUGACCACCAGAGGAGGAGAAAAGAAUAUGGCAUUUCUGAAAGGAAGCUUGAGAAAGAUGAAUCUGGAGCCAAGCAAAAGAAGAAAGCAAACGUUCUUAUUGAGGUUAGACAUCUAAAGCAUCACAUUCAACCGUUUAUGGGUGAUUGCCGUUUACAUAAUUCCUACUUGCCAUUUUUUCCUUUUCUACUAGGUUGAACAUGAAGAUACAAGCGAGAGACAAACAAUGGUUCAAUAGAAAUGUAUGUUUUCUCUGCUCGUAUACAGACGCAUGAACCGGAAGAGCGAUCAAUUUUGCUUUGUUUUUCACAUCAAUGAGUUAAGCUGUAGGCUAGGCUGUUUGGAACAUGUUCUGGUAAGUUUUGAUCUUGUUUCAGAUGGAGGAUAUUUGGUCUUAUUCGACCUCUUGUACCAGCUCAUAAACUAGUUCAUCAAUUCCUUGUUCAACUCGGUACUAAAGCUUGAGAUGUAAUUGACGCAUAUGAAGUUCUAAAGAGCAAAAACAAAAAAUGUGUACACUCGUUUUCUAAAAUUUUUCAGGGAUCAGAAUUGACUACUGUGAAUCUUUUCUUUCUUUGUGUUUUAUUCUUUAAAAAAAAAGAAAGAAAAGAUUAUUGGUGAAAUUAUAAGCUUGUCUCUACUUACCACAUAAAAUUACAGGUAUGAACUGCCGUAAAUUGGUUACCCGAUCAUUCAUUAAUGCCAAUCAUGCAAAUUCGCACGUUUGCUUGCCUUGAUUAGACAAUUGAAACGAAACCAAGGGUGCGUUCGAGUAUUGAAUUGGGUUAUCAAGGGGGAAAAAAAAGUUUUGAAGAGGAAAAGUGAAUAAAUUGUGACUGUUUUAAUACAAUUUUCAAGGAGAAUUAUGUAAGUCAUCUUCUAAUAUAUCUUGAUGCAAACUAAAACUUCAAACUUAAUUAAUAAAAUGUUGAAAUUUAAUUGAGGAUAAGAAUGAAUAGAUAUUAUUUAGUAACUUAAGUGUGUUUUGGUCAAGUUUUUAUUUUCUUAAGGCGGUGUACAAGAUUGAUGAUGACAUGAAACGGGAGAGAAAGAAUACUCAGAAUAGGAGAGGGUAGGUAUUUUCCAACAAGCCGCUGUCCGGUCAACUGCCAUGAAAAUUGUUCUCAAUCCGUGGUAGGUAGAAGUAAAGAAUCCGUCGAUCAGCCACCGAGCCGUUGACGUGUUUACCAUUUCUCAAGACCCUUUCACCGUGGUGCGUAGUCUUCUGAUUUCUCACUCUUUUUUAACUACUAAAGACUAGACGUGCAUCAUCUACUGUAAGUGGUGAUGGAUGCAUAGGCUUGCAUGAUUUUGAAUUCGAUGGAUUGAUGGAAUUUUUUUCAUCCAAGAAUUGUAAGCACGAUAGUCAUAUUCAAUCUGGAAGAUGAAAAAAGCAGUGCUGAUCGAGGCUUCUCUUGAGGAGGAUGAUGGAAUUGAUGAGGAAGUUGCUGAGAUACUGUCGUCCCAAAAGCUGGAGGCGGUGGACCGAGUGGAUCUUUCGGGGCGUCAACUUAAAUUUCUACCUGAAGCUUUCGGCAAACUUCGCGGCUUGAUCGCUCUCCGUCUCUCUCAUAAUCAACUGGAGGUCGGUUGUUUGUUAUGUAUGUUCAUUCAAGAGAACUUUUGUAUGGAUUUCACCACCACCCGCAAUUGGCUACCUUCUUUCUUUGUUGACCUCUACAAAAAUCCAAGAGGAGUCCCCGAAAAUCUGUGAAAUUGGAUUUUUUCUUUCUUUGUUGAUCUCUAUAAAACAUGAGGAAUUCGACGACUCUAGUUUCAAGUAAAUCAGUUAUACUUGCUUUUGGAACGAUACCCAUAUAAAUCAGGAAAGGUUAACUUUUACUCUUGCUUCCUGAUGUUUUCCACGUAAAUUCUUUCUUACUACUCCUAGAAAGUUUUGUGGUACCGCAAUUGUGGGAAUUCUCUCCUGUUUAGUGUUCCAAAAAUUCGUUUCUAACAUGAAUCAGUCAACAUAAAAACAGAUCAUUCCCGAUUCAAUUGCUGGUUUGGUGAGGUUGGAGGAGCUCUAUUUAUCUGCCAACCACCUGCUAACGUUGCCUGAUUCAAUUGGUUUGUUGACAAAUCUGAAAGUUCUGGAUGUGUCCGCAAACAAGCUUAAUUCCCUGCCUGAAAGCAUUGCUGGCUGUAGGUACGUACUAUAAGUUUUUACCCAGUCCUCCUGCGGCUGCAGCUCAGUUCACACUACUUUGUAUCAUAUGAUGGUGAUCGUUAUGUUCAUUGACAGGUCGUUGGUGGAUUUAGAUGCAAGUUUUAACAACCUAAGCUUUCUUCCAACGAAUUUUGGCUAUGGCCUGGUGAAUCUGCAAAAACUCUCUGUUCACCUGAAUAGAAUCCGAGCGCUUCCUAAUUCUGUUUGUGAAAUCCAAUCCUUGAGGUACCUGGAUGCUCAUUUUAAUCAGCUUCAUGGCCUGCCAUCGGCAAUUGGGAAGUUACAAAAUCUCGAGUUUCUGAACGUAAGCAGUAAUUUCAAAGAUUUGACGGGCCUUCCUGAAACAAUUUGUAACUUGAGCAACCUCAGAGAGCUUGACCUCAGCAACAACCAAAUCAAAUUCCUGCCCAGUUCCCUUUUUGAACUCGGAAACUUAACCAAGCUCAAUCUGGAUCAGAACCCACUAGUAAUCCCUCCUAUAGAUGUUGCAAACAAAGGGGUUGAAUCUGUGAAGGAGUUCAUGGAGAAGAGACAGCUUGAUAUGCUUGCUGCUGAAGAGCAAAGACGACAACUUGAAGCAGAUAAGCAAGCUCAGACUGGUUGGUUGGCCUGGGGCACCUCCAUGUUGCAUGAUCUUGUCUAUGGGGUUUCUGAGAGCGUUUCGGGCUACCUUGGGGGAACAAAUGCUUCGAAGGAUCCAUAUUUGGAUCAGCAAUUAUAAUCUCUACGGUCCGUCUCUUUCUUUCUGGUUCAACAAUAUAAUAAAGUCCCUAUGGUUUGCUUUUUCUGGCGCCAAGACUGAAUGGUGGGCGAUUGCCUUCCGAGUCUGAAUUCAUCAUGCCUAUGUAUGUACAGUGUUCUGUGCUUCGAUUCACCAGCUUAAUGCUUUGUUGACGCUCUUCAGUCUUCAUUGUAUUACAAGGGGUGAUCACGAGGAGCAAUACAUUUACGAUGAAGAUAUUAUCUAAAUUAAUAAAAUGAUUCCAAAUUAAUUAGGGUUUUCAUAUUUGUGUCUUGCCGGGAGAUGGAGAAACUUAUUAGAGUUUAUUUAUUUAUUUCUUGGGUAGGCAAGAAAUUUAUUAAUGCCUGAAGAAGAUAAAAACUGCUCCUAUAACGGACGUGUCCCCAGAAACCCAAUCAUAAUGAAUAAACUAGCCAACAAAGGGUUACUAAUAAACAAGCACACUCUAAAACAUCUCAAGAACUACAAGAUGGUGUCUAGUAAUUCCCGAGUUCUUGGAACCCAAAGGAUUGUGCAACAACUCUACUCUACAUAGAAAAUAACUUACAUUUAACUAAUGAGUAAAUUUUAUAUACAAUAUUAGUGUAUAUACUCUCACGGUUGAAUGGAUGACACGUGAGUAAAUUUUGAAUUUAUAUAUUUAAUAAUAAUGAUAGUGUAUACACUGACAGUGUGUAUAAGAUUAAUCCCUAACUAAAUAAGAAGGAAAAAAAAUCUCCUUUUGGAUUGUCUUCCGCUUAAGCAGAGCUAUGGUCUUGCGGAUUGGGCCAACGUUACGAAUACAAGUACACAGCCCCAACCAGUCAAUGCGAUCCUAAGUGUUUUACGGCCUAAUUUGCCCAAAAUGCAUACCGAGAAACCACAAAUUAUUUUGGGCUCAUAAGCAGAAAGCCCACAAGAGUAGUGCUAGUAAAAAGCCCAAGAUGCAUGCCCAUUUCUCCAGUAUGCUUGGCUAUCUUGUAAAAUACUUUCUUGGGAGCCAACAAGUGCGCAAAGCCGAAUAAAACAUGAAAAGAAACAAGCAGAUCAUUAUUUAUUCCCUUUGAUAAGGAUUUGCUCAGGUCCGUUUUCGUGUUAGUGCAUAGUGGAUCAAACACAAUAAAUGUCAAAUUUAAUCCAUAGUCGUGAAAGAUAUCCAACCUUUUGCAUCAAAUUUUUGAACUUUUAACCAAAUAAUCAGUGACUAUUUGUAAGAUAAGUGAAUAUCAAAAUUAAAAAGUUUUUUGGGGUGAAAAAGAAAAAAGGGUGUCGUUCUUUGUCUUUUCCUUUUUUUUUUUUUUUUUUUGGGGGAGUGGGGGGGGGGGUGGGGGGUUGGUGUGUGUGUGUGCAGAAAAAGGUUGCGAAUUCAGACGGCGAAAUGACAUAAGGUGAUCAUUGUGUCGGUCAUAUCAGAAUGGGAAAGGGAUCGAUAUCGUUCUCAGGACGUAGGAAGAAAAGAAACGAAAGAAAUUAUUGCUAGCUACUUGAAGAGAAAGGGAACUAGCGAAUGGGAUUGGCGAUGACCGUCGAUCUUCCCAAUGUUAAUCUGGAAUGGUAUCAGGAUAAUCCAACGGCAAUGUAAACCUGAGGAGCAGAAAUAACUGUGCAUGGACGUGACCCUUUGCUAUAUCCUUCUUUUCAUUUUGCUUUUCCGAGGACCCUUCCGCGAUCUGAAAACUAGUCUAUUACUGGACCUGCAUAUCAACUGAUUCGGGAGGCCGCAUCUGAUCAUGUUGUUUGUUGCCUUUUCAGUCUUUUCUUCUCUUCUUCUUCUUCUUCAUCUUCUUCUUCUUAUCACCAUCUGAAUUUAUUUGUACGAUAGAAUUAAGUGCUCUGCUCAUAUUAAGUUUACCUGCAUACGUAGACCUUAACUAAUUAUAGCACGCAUAGCAUUCCAGGCAGAAGAAGUAAAAAUUUAUACGAGUGAGGGCAUGCAAUUUUUUUUUCUUCUGUUUUUCUUUUCCUUUCUUCAAGUGUAAAAGCUAGCCACUCAAUCUAGUACCAGUUAAAGAUACAUGGAGUAAACCAUUCUAGCUACAAGUACGUCGGCAUCCUAAAGUUAAACCAAAACCUUCUAGUAAAAGUCUCUCCAACAAAUCUUUUCCUUUUUUCUUUUCUUCUGAAUCUGUCUAUAAAAGAGAUACUUUUUGAGGAGCAAGGGCAUGCAAAAGAUAUAGCUGAAUUGCUUAACGCACGUGAGCACUUGUUCUUCCAUCACAUGUGUUUUAACUGGCGUCUGGUAAAUGGGUAUGAGAGACAGAAAUGAGUAGCAUCAAAGUUGAUAAUACACUCAUAUUGAUUAUUUGGUAGAUUACUGUGACAAUGAGACGACAAUUGUUAGGUCUUGCCUAAUUUCAUUUCUCGCGUAUACUUAGUUUGGAUCUCAAUUAAUUAGCUUUUUAAUAGAUUGAAGCCUAUUCCACCCCAAAUUAAAGAAGUAUGAUGGGAUCCCUACCCAAAAUUAAAGAAGUGUGGAUAUAUGAUUCCGAUUUCGAAAUCUAAACCAAGCACUUGUAUUAAAGUCAACAGAAAAAAGGGAUACACACAUCGCAAAUAUCAUCUUUUAUCUUUGUUUGUUAAUGUAGUUCUUCUUCAUCGAUCAACAUCAUGGUAGUCUCUUAUUACACCAACAAGGCCAAGCUAGGCACAGUAGUCAGAACAAAGCCUCACAUCCCAAAUAAGGAUAUGUACAGUGAAGUCUCCAAAUCGAGCAGUUUAGAUGCGUGGUAAAGCACUAGCAAAGAAGCAGGUUGUUUUGCACGCCAUGCUUCAUGCAGCGCUCUGUCAUUGGCCGAUCGACAAACUUUGGCGGAGUUUUUAUUUUGUUUAUUCUUCUUCUUCAUAAUUGAACAAAUUUACGCAGUCUAAAAUGUGCCGCUGAAGUCAACCAUCGCACGGGCAUGCAGCCGCAAUCUUGUAGGUAUUCGUUGUCCUAAGGCUGCAGCUACUAUGAGCUAAAAAAGUGGGUUCAAAGUUUUAAGAGCCUCAAAAUUUGAUCAUAACAAGCCCACGUGGCGCAUGAUUUGUGGUGGAUUGUUCAGGACUAACACCCUCCUGUCUAAGGAUCCUUAUGAAAGCAACGUGUCCUGACUUUAUACGAGCCAACCCCCGACAAUGGUAUCAAUAAAAUCUUACUUGAGAAACCCUAGAUGAGACGAGAGCAACGAAGAUGUAAAGAAAUCUUUUGCAAGGGUUUUCUUUUGGGAUUGUGAUUAUACCAUGAUCUUAUAGGUUAAACCCAUUUUUUCUUAGCCUGACCGAUUGUUUACAUGCUGCUGUUUUCUUGGGAAACCCAAUCAUACUGUGAUGAUGCGUCCUAUUUGUUUCGUGCAAAGGUCAUAAAACUACUACUACUAUACUAUGAUUUAAUUCCCUGUGGACAAGCCAACACGUAAAUCCUUUGUAUACUUAUUUUGCACGUGUAGGUGAGGAUUUCAACUACUAUUGAGGAAAAUUGGAGAUCCAUUGUACUCCGUAAAUGAUAAACUUACAGAUCUGAUUUGAUGGCGUUUCCUUGUCAGUUUCCUCCAAUUCAUUGGAAUUUGUAUGGACUACUUCAUUUAUAUGGAGUACUAUAUAGUUUCUUUUAACUUUGGAAUUGCAAAUGUCAAAAAAGAUGGAAGAUGAAAAGUCUUUCGCUGUGAGUAAGUUAAGAAAUUUUUGGUACAAAGAAAUUAUAGAAAAACAGAAAAUAUGUGCAUGCAUGUUUGAUGGAGCCAUGGAGGUGUACAAAUAAGGAAGAAUAAAACCCUGGAUGGUCUCCUUUGGUUGUUUUUGUUAUUUAUCUCCAUUUGAAUCUCGAGAAGGAAUAUCCGGAUUACAACGAACGGUGCAGCGAUCUUUUAUUACUGUGAUGGCUAAAGGAGGUGACAAAACUGCGGAGAUGGUACAAUAAUCAGUUACAAGCAUGCAUGAUAGUAAGUAGCGAGCACUAGUAGUAGUAACUCAAAUAGGCUUGGCGUGCCAUGCAUUAAGUUUAGGGUUUUUUAGCAGCCAGCCUGGGGUUUUUAAUUGGCCAUUUUUCUUUGGUUCUCCUGCCUGCAGAUAUGUGUGUGUGUGUGAGCCGAGGCCAUAGUGUGCAGCCUUUUUUUAGGCUGAGUUUCACCGGAAUUUAGAGUGUCUGUAUAGAUACAGUUAAUUUUAGGGGACAGUAUGAUCAGGAGAACCUGACACCACCACCAUGACUUGCAGAUAUGCCGUGGCUAUCCCUAUUCUCAAUGCUCAAUACUCAAUACUCAUCUCUUAGAAUCCGCAUUACACGGUAUUUAACGCGUAUCCCAUGCAAUAACAGUUCAAUACGUAUGCCAUGUUGAAAUGAUCCUUUCUUUUUCUAUGUUUUGAUCUUUCGUCAUGUUCUAGUGUUUGUGACUCUCAAACGUUGUUGCUAUUUUCGUUUAUGGGCUGAUUCAUUUUUGCAGCAGGAAAUUUCAGGAGGCAAGAUAUGCUUUAUUACUGUGUGACCUUUUGACUUAGUAAUGAACUCUCUUUAUUCUUUGUUGUGUCUCAUAUGUAUACUUCUUCAAUGCAUCUGCAAUUCUGUUCACCACAAAUAUGGUCCAAUGUUGCGGGCAUUGGUGUCCUUUCCGGCAAGAAAGUGCUACUUUUAAUUACUCUGACCUUCAAUAUUCCCCUAUCUGCUAUCUAACCGGAAAAAGUUUGGUACACUUCUUAAAUUCUCAAAAUUAACUGUGAAUUCAAGUAGGUAUGUCCUUUUAUUCUUUCCACCAAUUUGCCACGUUACUUAUCAAGCAUGUUUGACAACAAAUUCGUAAUUAAAAGCCCGUUUGGAUUACUAUUUUCUAAAAUUUUUGUAGAUAAAUAUACUGUAACGAUCUGGUGCAUGUGAAGUAAAAAGAUAACUGAAAAAAUAUAUUUAUGAAAAAUAUAUAAAAAUUUAGAGAAAAAUGGCAAUCCAAAACGCCUAAAUUUACAUGAAAUGUGAAUGUAGUUACUUUUCAAAACCAAAAUCACAUGAGUUGUCUAACAAACAAAUACUAACAAUUAAAUUGUUAAAAUUCUCAGAACAAAAUGUUUAUAAUGACUUGUUCAAAUUUUAAAAAUUCUCAAAGGCAACUAAAGGGAUGGCAACUUUUUCUACAAUAAGGGUCUAUUUGGAUAGCUUAUUAUUUGUAAAAAUUUAUUUUAUUGUUUCAUAAACACAGUUUUCAAUCACCUAUUUAUCUUUUCAAUUAUUUUUUUAUCUUAUAUACACCACAUCAAAAAAAAGUGCUAUAAUAUUUUUUUAAAAAUUAUCCCAAUUAAUCUCCUAUCCAAGGACUCCUUAUAUAUUUACCAAAAUAAUACUUUGUGUGUUUAGAUAGAAGAUUAUUUGGAAUAAAUUUUUUUUUAAAAAAAUACUACAGCAUUUUUUUAUAAUAUGAUGUAUAUAAGACAAAAAUGUUAUUAGAAAAAUAAAAAGGUAGUUUAAAAAUAUAUUUAUGAUGUAAUCAACUUUUUUAUAACUAAAAAACUAUCCAAACAUGUGUUGGGAUAGUUGAUUAUUUGCAAUAAUUUUUUUUAAAAAAAUAUUAGAAUAUUUUUUUUAUGUGAUGUAUGUGAGAUAAAAAAAUAAUUAAAAAAUAUGUUGACGACACAAAUAAAUAAUUUUUUGUAAAUAAUCUACUGUCCAAACAAACAAUUUUCAAGAAGAGCAUAUAGAGUUAAAACCUAAAUGCUACGAGUAAGUUCCGUAGCAUAAGGUCCUACUAAUCUAUCAACUACAUGUAUAUUGUGAGCAACCUAGAAUAAUAAAUUUAGCUCUCAAUUUGAAAAGAUUGGCAAAUACCAAAGGCCACUUUGGUCCUUAGCCCUCGCCAUUUCUGUCCAAUUAGUCGGUCAUGUGCUUUUUUCCUCUUGGCCUUGCACGUCUUCUCAACCCUGUUGCCGUGAAGUUCUUUCUCCAAAAUGACAUGCUUGGCUGUUGCAUCUAUGACUACCCUACAUGCAGGGGAGGGUGUGUGUGUGAGACUGUGUGUGCAUUCUACUGAGCUAUCGUAGUAGAAGUAGCAUUCAACAUCAUAAAUUCUUCCUUUUACAUUACUGAUGAAAAGAUGGUAUGCAGAGAGAGAGCACAGAGACAGCUGUCUCGGAAAAUUAUUUGUUUGUAUAGUAAACACAUUACUUUUUAUCUCGUAUACAUCAUAUCAUAUAAAGUGUUACAGUAAUUAUUUUAAAUAAUCUCCUAUCCAAACACAUUGGACGAGCCACUUUUGUUGAUUCAUGUUUUGUCCAAAAUUUGGAUUGAUCCGAUUUUUAAAAAUUUAAUGAUUCAAAUUAUAUCACAUUAAUUGAUGAGAUGGUGUGGUACAAUCUAUAUCAUUAGAUUUUUUAAAAUUAGUUUACCGAAUUGUAGCCUUUCAUUCAUAAUCUAAUGUGCCAGGCUCACAAGCUUGUGUUGUGAAAGAUAAAACUGAUAAUAAUAAUAUUAAAAAACGGAGAGUGGGUUAGUGUCUUCAAAAAAUUAUUAAAAAAAAAAAAUCUAAGGCCGACAGCCAUACCCGCAGUCGUCAAAUCCAAAGAUUUUCUGAUUAGGAUUUAGAAGUCUUAACAUGACCAAAUAGUUCAUCCGUGGAACUUCCCUCUCUCCUCCCAGGUUCCGUUGUACAGGCAAGAACACAACAUACUACUGUACUUAGCCAAACUAAAGAAGCAAAAGUUAUGACAAGUAAGGUUUCGUUUGAAUUCAUGUUUUUAAAAGUUUUUUUUAAAAAAAAUAUAUUGUAACGAUUUGAUAUAUAUAUAUAUAUAUAUAUAUAUAUGUAUAAGAUAAAAAGUUAAUUUAAAAAUAUAUUGACACUCUUGAACCUUAUUUGGCGUUUUGUGGCUUUAAUAUAUAUAGUCACUUGCAGAUAAAUUUUAGGUCAUUGGUUACUCUUAUUCACCAUAUUAUUGGCUAAAAUGAUCAAAAAUUGUAAGCACUACCUAAGUAUGACUUCUUUGGUUUAAUUGGAUCAUUCUUCUUUCCCAUUUCUUAGAACUUGUUUGGAUUGCUAUUUUUCGUGAUCAUAUUUUUUUAUUUUUUUUAAUAUAUAUAUUAAAUCGUUACAGUAAUUUUUUACCACUACGACGAAGCAAAACGGUGAACCAUUUUGCUCAGGGAUUGAACUGUGCAGAUAGUUUCUCCUUCUCCCGCCCAAACUUCCUGUUUUUUAUCUUAGGAAAGGAAAAGGGUGGCUACAUCCUCUGACACCCUGACAGAAGAAGGCUGAGACGAUCUCCUGUUGUCGUUAAAAUCUACUACUGGCCCCCUUCCUCCUCCUUUAUUUCUAUCUGAUUUGGCGUCUCCACCUUUUCCAACCGUCAAUUUACCCUUUUUCCCCCAUCCCUCUUUCCAAAGCUUGUCGAAGUACUACUCAACCUAUUAUUUUCAAUCACCUUUUUUUUUUGUUUCUCACCAUCAUGUACCAUCAUCAGGUCACUCCACAAUCCACCCCGCCAUUCUGCACACAUAACCUAUUUGUGAAUUUUGCAAGCUAUUUCCCUGUCCUUUUUGCACCAUUACUAAACCUGUGAUUUGAGAAGCUCAGCAGCUGAUUCCAAUCUCGAAGUUGGUUUAGUUCAUCGCCUAACUUAUUGUAGAAUUUAUUGUUGCCACGUGGUAAAGAUUAAUUAUUUAGACAAUUAUUUGCUACAUAAUCAGGACGCGGCAAAGGUGUAUCCCAGCAACUAGCGGCUUUGCCAUCACCGUUUUAAUUGCAUCUAUUACAGAGAGAUCAGCCCGUUACUUGGUAAUUAAAUACUAUCAAAUUUUUAAACUGGUCCCCUUAUGCCCUCGUCUAUAUGCCUAGAAAAAUAUCUCUACCAUCAUGCAAAUGUACACAUUUAAAUUUGUUACAUCUUUUGCAUUUAAACACUUGUAAAUUAGCUUAACUUUUGAAAAAUUAUAACACUUGAAUCAUCUCUUAACGAGUGCCUCCGAAACACCCGUUAACCAAACUCGUUACUAUUACCAGCCUCUAAUACCCGGAUCGGGCUCCUCUCGAUUACAUUUCUUUCCAAUCAUUCAUAUAGUAUUUAUUUAUACCCAAAUAACUAGCUCGAUUUAUUACGUCAAUAGCAUAUACAUUAGUAAUAGUAAGUGUCUAAUACUUAGAUUUUAAAUUCAAAUUUACAUUAGUAAUAUCUAGUAACCGUGCUCCAUGUAUUCUUUUGGUGAAAACAGGGACCAUUUUAAUUAAGUCCAAUUAUUUAUAGACCUUACAAAAUUGGAGUAGAUAUUAGUGAUUUCAUUCAUUAGGUAAUUAAAUUGAUGGUAGCAAGUGUAUCUGAUGCCCAAUGUGUAAUUGUAUGGUAGAGCAGUACAGUUCAAGCGGUGACUUGUGAGACCUUUUCUUCUUAACAACUUUCAAUUGCGAAUUUGAACUCAGCAUGUGACCUCCCUUUCUAUGGCCUUCUUCGAUUUUUUUUUAAGGGAUAAUAUCAAAAACCUCCCUUGAGAUUUCUCCUAAUAUUACUUGCCACCCCUAAAGUUUUAAAAAGAUCACCUACCUCUCCUAGUAAUUGCCAAAAGACCAUGUUAACCCUCACUUGAUACAUAAUUUACAUAUCAAAUAAGUGGAGCUAAAAAAAAAAAAGCAAUAAAAGUAACUUUCCUCUCUUUCCCUUUUCUUCAACAUUCUCUCUUACUCAUUAUUUGGAUGAUUAUGCAAUUUUUCAUUUCUAAAUAUAAUAAAUUGAAUUUUAUUUAUAUUUUGAUUUUUAGGAUUGUGAUAGAGUGGGGUAUGAUUUAUUUGCUUAUUUUGGAUUGAUUUUUAUAAUAAUCAGUAUAAAUUAAAUGUUUGAACACCGAUUGAGAAGAAGUUGGAAAAAAUGUAAAGUUCAUAAAAAAUCAAUUUUGAGGAUAUACAAUUAAAUUAUUCAAGUGCAUUUCCUCGCAAAUAUCUUUUUUAUUUUUCAAAUAUAUAUUUUUAUGGAUUAUAACAUUAUGAUGUGGUAGUAUUACUAGAAAUUGAUUAUCUAGAUUAUAGUUUUCUUGAAAUAAACAAAGUGAUUUAGGAGUAUUUUUAUUUAGCAAGUAGAAAGGUAGCUUAGGGUUUUUAAAAAAUUUGUUACACAAAUAACAAAAGUAAACGAGGUAAUUGAUAUUUUAAAAAUCUUAGAGGUGUCAGGUGAUAUUAAGAAAAACCUCAAAGGAGGUUUCUGAUAUUAUCCCUUUUUUUAAAACAGACACAAAGGGUAGCUUAAAAAUAAAACUUGUUACCAGUUAUUUCUGUUUCAAAAUCCAAGAGUUAUCUUGUUUAUAAGCAUUAUUUGAUCCAUUUUCAGGUGAAUCAUGAUUAGAGACAUACUUAAGGUAGAGUUAUGUGAUUAGAAGUCAAUAAUAUUCACUAAAAUUAAAAAAGAAAAACCUAAUGUUCACUAAAAUCAAGUAGUAAAAAAACACGGAAAUGAUAUAACUUACAACCAUGGAUGUCUUGAUCCAACAGAGGACAAGGAUGGGCUAUAAAUUUUAUGUAUAAAUGAACUACUUAAAUGGUCUAUCUAUUUUGACCAAAAAAAAAAAAAUGGUCUAUCUAUUUCUGGCAUAGCAUUCCAAACACUUGCAAAUUUCAAAUCUAGUUACAGCUUAAUUAAUUUAUUUCAAAUAGUGCAUGCUUCUAGCGGAACUUACCAUUUGAUUGCAGUUUAUUAACUACUAUUUAAUGGAAGAAAAGCAGAAAAAGAGAUGGAACAAGCAAAAUAUGAUUGACAGUUCGCUACACCUAUUUCAUCUGUUGAAGCACAAUUUAUGCUUUUCUAUCAUUUAGUUUGUAAACAUAGAUCGCGUGUUGGAGCAUUACUACACAAGUUCAAUGCAUACAUUACAUACUUUUAAUGCAUAAUUUGAUUAUUACCUAGUUAAAAUUUGGUGUUUUUCUACUGAAUAUGUUCGCCGACUACAGCAAGAAGAAAAGCAUGCAUAAGAUAGUAACCAGCAUAAAAAUGACUAAUUGAAAGUUUUCAAAUAUGCAUCAAGGAGGAUCAUAAACAUCCCAAUUCGAACUUUGAUUCGAAUAGUAUCACAUACAUUGUAACUUUAAAUAGUACAAACAUAUAUAAAUUUCACUCAAUCAUUACUUGUAUCAUUCGUGAUAUUAUAUAUUCGCGAAAGUGUUUAAAAUUUAGCGUUAAAAAUACUUAAAAUAUAUGGAUAAAAGGAUAGUAUGAUUAUAAACUCGAGAAUUUCAAUGAGUAUAAUCAUAGACUGGGGAAUUUCAGGGAUUAAAAGUGGUUUGUAAAUUUUAAAUUCACAAGUUCUAUAACAUUCUUAUUUUCCUUCAAGUACUAUUAUUAAUUGCCAGAUGAUAUAUAACUCACGAAAGUUCUUUUUUAUUAUAUAAAAUAGGGGGGGUUAAAUCCACACACGCUUCAUACGAAAUCCAUGCUUAAUGCAUUUGUUAAACAUUAUUGAUACCCUUAGCUUUUAAACAUUUAAAUCAAAACUUUUAUAGUAAUAUAUUUUAUCUUUUCUUGUUCAUUUUGUUAAACUUGUUUUUGACACUCACAAAUAACCAAAAGGUGAGUAUUAGUAUGAAGAAGUCAAUGAGAAAGCAUUUUCUACCUUGAAAAAUUACAUUUGAUUUUAUGAAAUUGAAAUACGUAGAUACUGUUGCUUACAUCAUUAUUAGUAAUUGAAAUUUUUUUUAUUGUUAAAUUAAAUUUUAAAUUAAUAUUCUUACAGACUAGUAAAAUAUUUGAAGAUAUUCUCUAUAACAAUGCAAACAUUGGUUUUUCCUCUCUUUUGCUGUGUAAGCCUCUGUUUCUUAAAGCUAUAAAAAGCAUCAAAUAAAUUUAAAAUUUUAAGGCUAUUUUUAUCUAAUAAAUGCAUAGGGUGUGGAUUUAUUAUAGAGAAGUGUUGCUUUAACCCCUUCAUAUGAGAGAUUGCACAACAGUGGACAUCUAGGAACACGUCAACUCUCAAGAAACUAAUUAGCCAAGUGAUUAUUCAAGCUUGACUUAGUAAUUCUUUAAGCUAUUGAACUAAUUAUCAAAAAUCUUGAGUGUUUUUUGAUACUCUAUUUUUUAAAUAUUAUUUUAUUUGUAUCAUAAACAUAAUUUUUAUUCAUUUUCUUUAUUUUGCAUACAUCACAUCAUAAAAAAAUUAUAAUGUAAUUCUAAAUAAUUUUUUCAAAUAAUCUCCUAUUCAAAUACACCUAAAUUUUUUCUUUUUGAAUAUUUUCAUAACAAAAGAGUAAAUAAGAAUACACGACCGGUCUUUUACAAAUAAUAAAGAAACAGUUGCUACAAUCUCUUAAUUAAAUCCUAUGCUAAUAGUCCCCCGGCCCAGCUGCCAAAUGAAAAUAUAUAUGUUUCAUUAGUAAACAAAAAGUAGGAUGACAAAAAAAAAAAAAAGGACCAAGUUGUUAUCAUGAUUAAUAAUAGCUCAAUUUGUUGGAUAGCUCAAACAAGAAGUAGGAUCGUAUGUGUUUGGAUAGCUCAAUUUUAUCAAAUAAUAUUUCAUUUAUAUCAUUAAUUUUAUUUUUAAUUUAUUUUCUUUUACAUUUUUAAUUUAUUUUUUAUAUUUUAUAUAUAUCACAUCAUAAAAAAUAUUACACUAAUUAUUUUAAAUAAUACUCUACCAAAGCACAGGAUAUUAAAUAACUGCAGCUACGACUAUAAAUAUAUCCUCAACCAGGAUUUCGGGCAGCACAUUCUGCGUAGCACUUCCCUCCUACUUCAAUCACAGUAAAGAGCCAAUACAUAGUUAUAAUCUGUUCGUCAUCCCACCACAGUUAUCGCCACCUAUUGGUUUUGGUACUUGAUUUUCACAAGCUUUCUAGGUUUCUGAAUCCUCAUACAUUCUGGUGUGUUGUUUUUUUCAUUGUUACCUUUUUUCUUCCCGUACCAAUCGAAUCAAAAUGGAAGAAGCAAUGAGGAGACUCGGUUGUCUCACCCAAGCACCCGAAUCUGACCCUCUCCUUAACACCUCCGCCAUUUCCAAGAGAUGCACCACCUCAACAGCCAAGAGGUCUCACAAAGACGGUGCUAGUAAUAGUGGCACCAUGAGAUACCGCGGAGUCCGCCGCCGUCCGUGGGGCCGCUAUGCGGCUGAAAUAAGAGACCCUCAGUCCAAAGAAAGGCGUUGGCUUGGUACAUUUGACACGGCAGAGGAAGCUGCUUGUGCUUAUGACUGUGCAGCCCGAGCGAUGCGCGGUGUCAAAGCUAGAACCAACUUUGUCUACCCUACUUCUCCUUCACAUGAUACUCUCAUCCCUCCUUUUCACUACUCAAAAUCAUCAUCCCAACCAGCCUUUCAAUCUUCUCGCUCCAGCCCACAUCUUGCUGAUCACUUCUCUGGAUCAGCAAAUCAAAGAAAUACCACUAGUAAUUCUGUUAACAUGCUGUUCUUUCGUGACCUUUUCAACUCUUCAUCUACAAACUCAUCAAUACUUACUUCUUCAAGCACUUUGCCUUUGUAUGAGCAAGGACCCUUUGCCGACCUCAACUUCUCCAACUCCCUCAUGGGCAAUCAAUCUUGUAAUAACAACCUUACUGCUCCAAAAACCAUUGAUUCCCUUUCUACUACUUUUAGCCUGCAACGAAAGUUUGACGAAUACCAACAAACAGUUUGUUCAGGAGUCCCAACUUCCAGCACAAGUAAUAACCAAGUUGAGUGCAUGGAUUUUUUCCCCUCAGAGCCGUCAGAUUCAGGACUGCUGCAAGAAAUCAUCCAAGGGUUUUUACCGAAAGAGAAAAAGAUAGUAAAGUCUGAACCCGAGUUGGCUUUGGUGGAUUCUUUUGCUGCUUCGUCUUCUUCUGCAGUUACUACUGAUGUUUCCAUGAAUCUUUCAUUGGAAGGUGGCGGGUUGAAGAGGAGGAUAGGAGAUGCUGCUUAUUUGGAUUGCCACGUUCCACUUCCACAGCUGUUGGACAAUUUCAGUGCUGUUGUCCCGCCACAGCCUAUUCCAUUUUACAGUGAGAUUUAUCAUCCGGCUGAGAAUGUUCAAGGGUCACAAGAAUGCAUGUUGGGAUUGGGAGAAGGAUUUCAUCAGUACCCGGACCUCCUUGGUGCCUUUGCUGCUGCCAAGAUGCAGAAUGCUUGAAUUUAACUUCUGAAGUUGGUAACUUAGUAAUAUUUCAUUAGAUUACCCGUUUUCAGAAAGUCGUAAGCAGGAGUUGGAAAGGUCUAAGGAAAUGUUUCCGAAUUAUCAAUUGACUUUCAUUUGGCCCAUUUCUCUAUCCCUUCUGAUCCUGACAUAAACUAUGGACAAUACUAGCUUUGUUGCAAAAAUUCUCAAGCGAAUUCUCCUGCCUUUUUCUUGCUCUACCAGAGGUCUUUUUGUCAGAAUUUGAUUCAUGUCCAUACUUGUCACCUUGAUUCUUCAAGCCAAAAUGAGAAGCUUUUUGUAAUGGCAUUCGAAGUACUACAGAAGUUUGGCAAUGUUAGGACCCUUCGAAGAGUUGACCUUCGAGUUUGGUGCAGUUAUUGAAAGUAUUUGUCCAGCCUUUUUGGGCUGUUAUUUAAUUUUCCCAUCUUUUCUAGUACUAGGACUACUAGCUGUUGUACCAAAAAGCAGUUGCUCUUUUAAUUCUAUAUGUUAGAUUUUGUAGGGCAUUGGAAUUUCGCAGUCGGGAUAUGCUUCUUUCUUAAGCACGCUGGGUACUCAGUAGUCAGUACUGAAUGCUACUCCAGUUGAUUAUAUAUAUGAUCCUUAUGAGCGUUUUAGGGUUUGGUAUUAUAAGAAAAGGUUUCAAACUUGUUUGUUGACGCUUCCUUUUUUUUUUUUUUCCUCUUCAAAUAUUCCUUUGCAAAAACUACAAACAAGAUGGGCCAAUCUCAUCACUUGAAAAAAGCUUGCUGAUGCUAUGUAUUUGUUUAUCUUUCAUAAUUUAGAGAACCUGUAUUGGUCUGGUUCAUGAAGGACUGGCCUUGUAGCCAUCUGGAUGGUGAACAAAAGCCGAAUAAUCAACUAGAAUUGAAAGAAUUUAAAAUGAAAAUAAAAUGAAGACAAAGUAGUAGAACAAAAAAAUAUAUAUAAUAUAUAACUACAGGUUAAUGGAAUUUUGCAGCGCGUAGGUGUACAUCCGCGGAUUGCCAAACGUUCAUUAUUGUAAUUCAUGGCUGGCCUAUUACAUUAAUUACAGUAUUAACCCAAGUGCAAUUGUACUGCUAAUUUCCAUGAGGGAGGCAUUACAAACGGAUAAUUGAAUGCUUUAUGAUGACGAUCUCAAUUUCGAGGUUGCUAACUUGCGUCCACUCAUCAAUCUAGUUCUGGUGGAGAAAGCCAGAAAGGUCAUCCUUACCAUCACUUGUUCUCGUUUCAAGAAAAAAAAAAGGAUGGCAUGCGGAUUCACCGAUUGUAAUGUCAUGUUGGUUGGACUUUAAGCAUAGACUAAAUGAAUGUAGAGCGUCUUAGAUAGACUCUCUGUUUUUUCCCACACAAGGAAAAAAAGAUGCCGGGUGUUUAAUUGUCUCUUAUGAAAUCGUUUGAAUUAUAGUUCGAGGCAAUUUUUCUUACCCACACCAGCAAAUUACGGAUACUCCCGAAGUAGUAAUAUACUUGGUCAUUUGUUACGUUUUGUCGUGCCGUAACUUCUACUCCCUCCGUUCCACUUUGAUAGUCCUGUUUUCCUUUUUCGUCUGUCCCAAAUUAUAGUCCACUUUUCAAUUCAAGAAUGUAGUUAUAUUUUAAUUUUCCUAAAAUACCCUUAUUCAAUGUAAGUUGUUGUUACUAUAAAUCUACUCCAUUUAAUGAGAGUUUAUUCUUUUUUUACCAUCAAUUCAAGUUCCCAUAAAGUUGUACUCUAAUUAAUGUGAGGAUAUUUUAGAAAAAUAGUUACCUAAAUUGAUUGUUCCAACAAAGUUAACUAUUUUUUCUUAAACUGUGUGAAAAAAGAACCAGAACUAUCAAAGUGAAACGGAGGGAGUAUGAAAUUUUAGAGAAGUUAAAAGUAAACUGAAUUAUUUAAUUAGAAUGUUUAUUAUUGUCCGGACCGGAUGAAAACAGAAAAAUAGCACACUAUUAAAGUGAGGCCAAGGAGUAAUAUAUUUUGUCAUUUGUGACGUUUUGUCAUGCUGCAAUUUUUAUGAAAUUUUAUGCAAAGGUUUCUUAACCAUGCGUAGGAACAAGGACAAUUUUAAGUGUUGAACUUGAAUCAGAAAGUGUUAUUUAGCUUUUCCGAGUAUCAAAACUCCAAAAAUAGGUUAUCAUGUGUGGGUUUGGGGGGCACGAUGAUGCGCUGUCCGUAAUCAAUGAAGCCACUAUAUACGCGGAUGAAUGCCAUUUCCAAAAUUUAAUUACCCACUUGCAUGAGAUUUUUUUUUUUUUAGACACUCCACUUGCAUGAGAUUUAAUGCUCGGGGUUCAAUUAACUGGAUCCACCAGUUCCGAAUCGGCGAAUCCUGCCGACUACAGGUUAAUUAUGUAACUGAGUAGGAGUUUGGACCAUUGUGAUUAAAUUAAAUACAGCCUAAUGCAACGGUAGACGCAACUAUGGACUUGUUGCUCAAUUCUAUUAAUACUACUCCAAGAUCGGAUUGUUAUGCAUUUCUGGAAUCUUCGUGAAGAUUAAGAGUUACGGCCACAAACGAGUUGAGUCAAGUCGACCUUUGAUCUAAUCGAACCGAGUCUCGAUUUAAUUUUAGUAAAUUCGACCUCGAACUCAAGCUCGACGUACUUUCACUAUGAAUCUCGAGCUCCACUUCAAAUUCGAACCAAAUUGAGCUUAUUUUUUAAAAAAUGAAUAAAUUAAUAUUUUUUCUUAAUAAAUAGUCAAUAUUAUGAAUAUAUAUGUAAUUUUAUUAUUAAAAUAAAAAUUAAAAAUAUACGUAUAUAAAAUUGAGUCAAUUCGCGAACUACUGAAUUGAAUAUCUUUGAAUUUGAAUUCAACUUGACCAGUUCAAACUCGAAUCGAGUUCUUUGUUAAUCGAGCUCGAAUUAAACUUUGACUCAAAUUGCUCGUGAACGGCUCGACUCGUAUGCAACUCUACUAAGAGCGACUACUGCAGUAUUGGUUGGGGAACUUGCUGGAAGGUAACCAGAACACAACCAUUGGGUAAUGGUCGGAAGAGUCUCUUAAAACCCUUUAUAGACAAGUAGUACAAUUGUCUGAUCAGGACUGGACCAAUUAAGCGAGUAUUUUGUUUUUGGUUAGAAAACUUGAGUUCCUUUUGAUUCCAUUUUGUUCCAGCUUUUUCCAAACAUCUAUAAAAGGAGAAAGAACAAAAGAAGUGUAAAUAAUUGGAACAGGAUCGUUAAAUUUUUUUAAAAAAAUUUGUAUUUUACAAAAGCACCUCCAGUUUUCCUUUCGCCGUUAGUCUUUUAUUUUACAUUUUUCAAUCUAAGCUAUUCUGAAAAUAUUAUAAAGCAAGAGCAACUUCUAGAUAAAUUUAAGUGAUGAGAGAAUUUGAAAAAAAAAAAAAAAGAAGCUUCUAUCCUUUUCUUUCUACAGGAGACAAAUUCAAUAACAUGAUAUAUUCCCACGUUUUCCAGGUGCUAACAUGGAUGAAAAAGCUGCUUUUUGUACUUUUUUAACUGUUUCUUGGGCUUCAAUAAUGUCAAAGAUUUUAUCUGAAGUUUGAGACGCUGUAGCUGGGAGGGGAGUUUGAUAAUUCAGUUCCAAAUGGCAGAGAUACAUUGGCCCUUCAGUUAUGCAUUUAUUUCUUUAUUAAAACCUCUAAUUUCUUUCCCGUGUAGAUUAGCAUGUGCUAUAUUUCUUUCCCGUGUAGAUUAGCAUGUGCUAUAGUUAAUACUCAUCAUUACACCUUCUAAUCUCUGCUCCUUUUUUAAUGUGAGAUCUAGUUUGUUAGUAGGUGACUAUUUAUCAAUUUUUUAUAUUUUAAACAGAUAUCUCUUGUAAUUUCCCAGUUGGAUGAGCUUAUUGUGAAAAACGUAAUUCAGUUUUCAAAGGAAAUUAGAAGUCAUUCAUUUAUUAAAAUUAAUUAGCACGUCGAAAUUUUCAGUUAGAGGCACAUGAAAACUAUUCUCUCUCUCUUUUUUUUUUUUUAAAAUUCAUUUAUGCGUAUAUAAUUAAAAAUUUAAAUGAGAUAGUUUGCAACAUAAUUUCAAAGUGUAUGCCACCAACAUGCCGGCGUCUACUCCCGAGCGAAGAUGACAGAGAUCUUAGAAACGUCCUAGUAUACUUCAUGAAAGGAGCCUUUCAUUGGACCGUGCCAUUAUUUUGGGCCAACUAGGCCCAGAUAUGCUUUUAGCCUUUGCAAACUGCCUCGCGUCAAGCGGUAAACGUUAAUUCUUGUUAAGUUUCAUGGAUUUGUUCCUCUAUGUGAACUCGUACUUAAUUAAGUUGAAGGCCCACUUUUUUGGGCUAACACAUCCACAAUCCAUCAUCUCCCAUCUUUUAGGAUCCGUAUUGAUUAGGUAUUUUUAGAAGUGUAUACCAAAAAUUUUCAUAAUAAAUGUAUAUCAUCUCCCAUACUAUAGUUUUGUAUACCAAAAAUUUUCAUAAUAAAUGUAUUUUGAGAUAUUUUUAAAAUUUAAAAUUUUAGCAGGAUGUUUUUAAAAAUUUUUAUCUUUUUUUUUUUUAUCUUUAAAAUUUUUUAUCUCAACUACCUAACACCACCCAUCACCGCCACUAUUUUUUCCUUCCUUCCUCUUCCACUGCCACUCCCUUCUUCUUCCUCCUUGUUUUUCCCUCUUUCUCUUCCUCCUCUCCUUCUCCUUCUCUUCUUUUCUCCUUCUCCCUCUUCCUCCCAUUUCUUUUUUUUUUUUUCAUUUUCCUCCGUCUUCCCCUCCUUUCCCCUUCCCGCCCUCUCUUUUCUUCCCCUUCCUCUAGUUGUAGCGGUGGUGGUUGUGACCAAAAAAAAGGGAAGGAAGGAGAGAAGGGCUAUGCCAUCUGGACCACGACUAGACUAGAUCUAGUCAUGAUAGUCGUGAUCAAAGGAGGAAGAGAGGGGAGAGGGGUUGCAUGUUGUGACAAGACUACGACUAGAUGAGAGGGAAGGGAGGGAAAGGGAAGUUAAAGGAGGAAGAAGGAAGGAGGAAGAGAAGUAGUGGUGGCAGUAGAGAAGGGAGCAUGGGAAGGGUGAUGGCAGUGGGAGGUUAUGGUAUGUUGUAAGUGGUCGUGGUGGUGGUAGGUAAAAUGUGCUAAGGGAGGCCUCAAAAAAUUUUUUUUUUUCAAAAAGUGGUGUAUCGUGUUAUUUGUGUUUAGUUUACGUAGUAUUGAAACUAAACCGUAAUUACGUAUGCAUAUUGGUGUCUGAAAAUAAAAGAAAAAGAAAAUAUAGGAAAAAAUUAGAUAGUAUUGAAACUAAACCAUAAUUAUGUAUGCAUAUUGGGGUCCAGAAAUAGAGGAAAAAGAAAACAGAGGAAAAAAGUUAGAGAUAGUUGAAAUGCAAGUUGGAUAAUAGGAUUAUUUUUUUUAUGUAUACAUUAUUACCUAAGGGUACACAACAACUAAUUUUAAUUUUAAUUUAAAAUUCAAAUUUAAAUUCAAAUUUUAGAUAUGUAUCAUGCAUCUAAACAUACUAUAGAAGAUUAACUUACACUGUCAAGUGUAUAUAAGAUUAACUUAGGGAUAAUGUACAUAAAGUUUUUCUAAUGGAUGUCCAUUGGAAACUCAUUAAGGCAUCUAAAAUUUAUCUAACCUAUCAUAUAUGUACAUAUACUAACAAUUAUUACACUCUCAUAUAUUUAUAUACUUUUCCUAUUUAAUCUUAUCUAGACUCUCUUGUAUUUGUUUACUUUUUCUAGUUAAUUUUACAUUUUUUAAAAAUAUGACACUGGAAAUAUGUUUUAACGAGUGCUGAAUGAAUACCCGUUGGGCCGACUUGUAUACAUAAUAUAAUUUGAAAACCUGAGCCCCAAAUUGUUGAGGUCAUGGAGAGUGAAAACUUAAGUAAGAAAAUAGAUUAGUGAAAUUCCUCAUGAAAUAGCACAAAUUCCAACUACCAAGGGCUUCUUCCAGACAAGAUAUUUUGAUGAUUCAGCUUGGAGCUGUUUCUAAUGCUUGUGUUUUUCCAAAUAGCCCGGCUGGAUCAGCAAAGCACAUUAUUUAGCAAUCAAAAAAUAUCCUGAUGGAAGGUAUAUAUCAAUCAAAUUUUGGAGGAUCUGGUAUCAGAUCCUUCAAUACAUACAUUAAGUGAUGGUUGAAACUUGUGAGUUGUGACCCACAAGCCACAGCGGCUUGCAUUAACAUGAGGGAAGUGAUGGAUCAAUGGACCAAAUAGCCUAAAAUUGACAGCCACGAGAAUGUCUGCCACGACUCCUUAUCACACCCUUCCCCUUUGAUGCUACUCUUACUCUGUACGUGAUCAAUAUGUUUGGUAAAAUAGUAGCAUGUACAGUUCUGAACUAUUACAGGAGCAUCUUGCUGAGUUUGGCCACACAUAUUGAGUUCCCCCUGUCAUCAAAGGAAAACGAAACUAUUGCAUUUCUUGAUACAUUUCUAGAUGAAUUCCUAUUCUUGAUCAUGAACAAGGAAAAAAAGGGUCAAAAAAAAAAAAAGGUAGCUAGCUAAUCAUAGGUUUCUAUUAAAGUUAAAUCCAAUAGAGUGUUUGAAGCAUUAUAUAAAGUGAUGAAUGCAGUUGGGACGUUAAUGGACAAUAUUACCAUACCCGUGAGAAAGAAAGAGACAUCAUAUGUAAAAGCAAAGAUGGCUGCAUGGCCAUCUCCAUCAUUUUAAUUACUGCUAACACAAGUGCAGUCCCACCCCCACCUGUCUUGUCCUUACCAUAGACAAAUUCAUUAUCCACUUCUUUUCCUUUCUUUUGCUUUGCUUUCCCUUUAUUUAAAGCAUAGCCAGACUAUCCAGCCAUGCACUUUGUUACUAACUUGCUAGAGCUGCUGGCUAUCAACUCCAGAACUCAAGUAAGUUUACAAGUUGUAAUUUCUGUCAAUUAUUUUUGUUAUGUGCAACACUGACAACAUAUAAUUCAACAUGCUUUUUUUUUUUUUUUUGCUUUGCUUUGCUUUAAGUUAAAGAGAAAAAGAAGAGAAAAAUGGAGGGAGAAGUGAUACAUAAAAAGAAUUUGAAGUUGGAAAUUCCAGGAGAAAGUGAAAUGGCUUUUCCGGUGGUGGCACCAGGGGUAGCCACCGGAGGUGGCGGGCUUGCUAGGCAGGGAAGCAUGACGAAGAACAAUUGCCUUUGCUCUCCAACCACCCAUGCAGGUUCCUUUCGUUGUAGGCUUCAUCGAGUUCCCCAACAAAGCCUCCAGAGAACCAAAAGCAUUGAUUCAACCCCCCUCCAGGAUUCACAAUCUAAGCCCAAUUGAACAAAGUACUGAUCGCAUGACAGUGGUGUAGUGCAGGAGGCUCGCUUGACUGUAAAAAUUUGCUAGCUAUAGGAUUAAGGUUUUAUUUUGGUCUCAUUUAAACGUAAAAAGAAUGCAUCUAUUUGCUGUAUGUACUAUGUCUCAUUUCAUGAUGUUUUAUUAGUUGUGCCUGCCAAGUACUUUGUAGCUACUGCAUAUUAAGAUAUACCAAGCUUGAGUACCAAUUUCAAAAAAACUCAUCAGAAUUUAAUAUCCUUGAAGAGGCAUUUGGGAUUUUUUUUUUCCUUCCCUUUUUGAAAUGAAUACAAAAGAGGAAAAGGGAAAACUCGCCUUAGUAUUGAUUGAAAUGUUAUUUUAUCCUUUUCAUGGUUUAAAUUCCUAGCUGCGGUGGUCUAGACUAACUCUUGAAUAAUUAUUUGUACUUAGCAUCUUUAAAACCCGAAAAAAAGGUAAAAAAAAAAAUUCUUAAAUAUAACUUCUUAAAUCCCACCAUUCUCUUAGUAAUUUUUUUUUCUUUAAAAAAAGAGAGUGCAUGUUUUUAUAGUUUUCUACGUCACCAAAAAUAUUACACUCGUAUUGUACGUACUUUUAUAUCUUUUGCUGCAGAUGAACAACAAUUUACUCAUCACACCACUAGUCCAGUUGGAGUUGGGCCCUGAAUGGAUGAAUCCAGAUCGGUGAUGAAAUAAACAGGCAGGCUUUGAUGGACAUGCAUAUGUUCCAAGUCCAAUCUAUAGUAAAGCAAUAAAAUUGACCUCAGUUUAACGGGUUAAUUCCACUUUGUCCCCCCAAACUUUGGACGAUUAUCCACUUAAAUCCCUAAACUUCAAAAUGAGACAUUUAAGUUCCUAAACUUAUAAAUACCUCCCACUUAAGUCCCUGAACUUAUAAAAUGGGACACUUAAAUCCCUAAACCCUUAUAAAAUGGGACACUUCGACCACCAACGACAUUCAGGAUUUGUUAACAAUUUUCCUUAAGUGGGAGGUAUUUAUAAGUUUAGGGACUUAAGUGUCCCAUUUUGAAGUUUAGGGACUUAAGUGGAUAAUCGUCCAAAGUUUGGGGGGACAAAGUGGAAUUAACCCCAGUUUAACAAGCAGAAAACAGAGAGCAAAUUUUUUUUUUCUCUGGUAAACAAAUACUAGCUGCAAUAACCAGAUAUGCAAAAUUAUUGAAACUAAAUCAAUUGAAUUUGGGGUCUUAUUCGAUGAUGACAUCGCAUGCAUCAACUUUAGCUGGUCGUUUAACUUUAAGCACGUAGGAAUCAUUAGCCCCAACAUGGUCAUUACUACCUAAAUUAUUGAAGAACCAAUGUUGAUCUGCCUAAUGAUUUUCCUGUUUGUUAUACUACAAAAAAAAAUACGUCUGAUCAAUUUAGUACAUAUAUAUAUAUUCUAUGUUAAGCAAAAAGAAGUAAACUUUUGUGCUCAAACAUGAAGCUCAGCUGUCCUUGUACAUUCCAGAAUAAAUGACAAAAACCAACACAAAGGAUGCUGGACCAUCAAUACUACUAUUUUUAAGUGAUGUUUAUGGGACACCCGCCUCGAAAGUUCAAUCAAUUGGCAGAGACAAUUAAUAUCUCGACUCUAAAUCCCAAUACAACUGUCGGAAGACAAAAUAAUUGUACCAAAUCCAAAUUUGGGAGAUAGAAGCACUAAAUAAUUAUGCAUGAUAUCUAGAGCUUCUUUUGUGCACAAUAAACCGUACGCUGUUAUGUUCUUCAUGCACUAUUACGAAGUUAUAUGUUUUUUGUUGUUUGUUUGGGGGGUUGUUGUGUUCUCUUCUGGGAGGAUAUGAAAUUGUCAGGAGUUCAAUUUUCAAGUCUUGAUUUCCUACGUUACAGUUUUCUCCUUGUGAGAAACAUUAGUUUAGAGCAAAUUCUCUUUGUAUAUUUUUCAUCCUGAUUAGCAUACGAGAGUGAUAGCAAUUUAUUUUCGCCCUGAUACUUGUUGUUAAGAGGGUGCAUCAUUGCCACAAACAGUGAGGAGGACCAGUUGCAUUGAUGAAUUCUUCAAGUUGCAGAUAUGGAUUCCUCAAUGAACAAAUGUACUUUCAAAUGCCGUUCAACAUUCGCCUGAAUUUGUACAAGAAAAUUUCUGAAAAGCAACCGCCUGAAGGUGAAUAAUAACUCCACUCCGGAACAGAUUGCAGUUUUAGGUACGCUAUAAACAGUUCAUUAAAUUUCCUCUUCUCGAUAGGGGAAUUCACUAAGUUACAAUAUAUGAUAAAGAUGGAUGCUCUUGGAUGGAAUAAGUAUGCACAAUACCUUGGUCCCGACUCCAGCCUCACAAGCGUCCUACUCCAUUUUGCACUAAUAGAGGUUCCUCAGAGACUUUUUUUUGGCCCUUUUAACCUCUACAACAUUUGCUUUUAUUAGCAUAAGGUACACCAAUAAUGCACAUUGGAUUAUCUUCCCUAACAAUUACAAAGCUUAAGCAAGAACUAGACAAAGGGGGGAAAAAAAAAAUUAAGGUAGAGUAUAUGUUAACCAUCAAAUAACCAUCCCUUUUAACUAGAAAGAAAACAAAAUUUCUUUCAGUUUUUCUCACUAGUACUUCUGUUGCUAGGCCACAACUUGCUCAACAUCCUUUUAGGUCGAUUAGGAAGCAUGCAGAAUGCCUUAACUCUUGAGGAUUUCCCAAUCCCAUCCUGGUAAUUUUCAUCCAAAUCAUCAUCCUCAGCCAGCUUCAUUUUUAGAGUCGAAAGCUUUGAUUUGGGUGAUUUUGCUCCAGAGACACUCCAUUGAUCAUCUGCCGGUGUCAUACCAUUGUUGCUGAAGGAUGCUGCAGGCCUUGAUGAAUGGUCAUUGUGUGUAGCUAAAAGAGCCUUGAUGUUGCUUGGCAGAUCAGUGACUUGGCCACCAGCCAUGGCAGCUCGAGCUUGUUCAAAGAAAAGAACUUGCACCACUACCCUAAGGGGAAGCAUUUCAUUUUGGGCUGCAUGCAUACAGGCUUCAACGGAUAGCUUUCUGCAGUCUAAAAUUCGACACAGACGCUUUCUGUCACUUUUGUUGAGUUCUGGAUGUCCCUGCACAGUUUAGUAGAAGGAAUUAUGUCAACACCAUUCUCCCAUUUUGGAAUUCAUGAUUCAAUUGGUAGAGGAAUCUAUCAAGGAUAAAGGUUUAAUUCGAGUGAAACAGAAGCAAAGAAAAUAACAUAGAGAGAAAUGGUAGGCAUGUAGCACUCCGAGUCAAGCAGUGAAAGUCCCAUCAGAUUCGUGAGGAGCAAAUUAACACCAAUAAUCCUGAUUCCUGUGAUGACAGAACAUUAUCUAAAAUUCUUUUGAGUCCCUCCCACCGAAAGUUCUCAGACCAUUGAACGUGGCCGUAGGCAGUAAAAUCAACGUACGAGGACCUACUGCCAGAUUAUACCAAAUUGAUGUGCAUAAAGUUGAAUUAACUAACCAAACAAGAAAUGGACAGCAUUUAAAGGUCAAGGUAGUUGGUUAUCCACUGAAUGACAUUGACAAACAUCCUAAUUUCUGUCAACUAAUCUGUCUUUGUAUUCUUCUGCUCCAACCUUUCUUAAACAUCUAACCCCUUGUGUAAUUUUAGAACAAGAAGGAAAAAGGUUAAAACAAAAGCAAAAAAUAAGGAAACAAGAAAAAGAAUCAACUACGGUAUGAUUUUUAGUCAGUCUUUCUGUUUUCUAUGGAAAUAAAUACCUUGAGAUAAAUGUCGAUGGCUUUGUAAAGAUCAUCAUGAUCGACCCUGGCAAACUCUGGAAGUGCUGAAGCAAUUGCAGUAAAUUUUGAGAGGGGUACGUUGACAUCUCGAGCUAUCUCCUGUAGAUAUCCAUCCACGAGCUUUGCUACUUUGAGUUUUGAACUAUGUGAUGCAGAGGAUGACCUCCUGCUCUCCUGAAACUCAAAAUCAAUAUUCUCUGCCGAACGAGACCUCCUUCGUUCGAAAUCCCGCUUGGCUCUUGGAGGACUUGUUGGGGGACUUUGUCCUUGUAACAUGAACUGCUCUAAUAUGGUCAUGGCCACAUCAACAUCAUAUAACAUGUUACUUGUGUAUGACAAUGAUGGUAUUAACAGAUCAGAAACCGCAGCCUCAUCCAAUUGAAUUCCAAUUCUUCUUGCCAAUUCAUUCUUGGAAGCUGAAGAGGCUUUAAGUAUGUUAGCAGCCUUCAGUAAUUUUGAUAAAAAGCCGCUAGAAACAGAACCUUUUUCAGCUGGUAAUAGGCUAACAAUUGAUUCAAGAAGCAGCCUGUGUUUAGAUGUAACUUCCUUAAUUGAAUCCAUCUCAGGUUCAGACUCCACUUCAUUGUCAACACUUGUGUACUUUGAUAUGUUUGGUAGCCAUCUAGCUGCAUAAAUCCUCAACGCAUCACCUACAAGAUUGGAGGGCACCUUCCCACCAGAUUUUAUGGCUAUCAUUGUUCUCCAGUAGAGGUCUAUCCCCAGUUCAGCUAUAUCUUCAGCCCACCAGCCUUUGGUUGCAGGUUUCUGCCUCUGGCUUUCUGAUCCAUUGCAAGAGAUAUCAUCCCUCCCUCUCCUUGAAUAACUGUGUGACAAGCACAUCUUUGAGGGGUUGGCCAGAAUUUUUGAAGCAAUGGCUUCAAUACAUCUGCUUGUCAUGCCGAGGUCCUCGGACCACAAAGGAUACGCCUUGGUGCUCUGUAAUGUUACAACUGAAUCCUUCCACCCUUGAAGUAUGCAAGAAUUAAAGAAAACUUCAAGUUUGUAAAUUAAGUUCCCCUUCUCCACAUCCUCCGUCAUUUGAAGGUACUCUGCAGCACAUCGAGCGGAGACAAUGUUGUAGGCACUGAGAGUGAUGGUGAUACCAUAACAGAACUUUGCACACAGCUCAAAUGCCUCGACACCUCCUGGAAAAUCAGGUAGCUGGACUAUUUGCUGCUGUGACUCGAGAUUUUCAGCACACAGCCUCUGCAGGCGCAAACACUUGGAUAGCAGGGGAAACUGCAGGACAGCCAAGAGAAGUUGUCAACUUCACAAAAUUCACAACUUUUCUUGUUGAUUUCCCAUUUCGUUUCGUUUCACAGAAUUAGUCUACGGAGACGAGUAAAUUACCAAGGAAUUUACCUUGUGAAGCAUAUAUCUGCUUCCUUUGACCUGAACUAUGAGAUCGCUGGAGACCUCUGAGGAGACUGACCUGCAUCAACAAACAGAAAAGAUUCUUACUUUGUCACUUGAAACAAGGGUAUCAAGAAUCAACUAUUAUAGCUGAAUUCAGCAGAUUUAUUCAAGAUACCAAGGGGCUACAAAUUGAUUGAAACUGUGACGAAUAAAACUUUACCUUACAGCCUCGGUAGUAUAGAAAGUAUCAGGCCGGGAUCCUAGUUUCAUAAACUUCAUCUUUGAACUUGUUUCUCCUCCUUGUAGGAUUACCAAUUCACAAGAUAUGCAAGGUGGCAGUAUUAGACAAAACCAAUUUCAUGCUUGCUAAGAGCCUCACUUUAAGGACACCAGUCACUUUGGAAAGUUCUUCCUCCAGCUGCAAGCAAUACAGUUUGUCGGAAGCCCAGAUGACCACUAAACACAAUACUGAGUUCAGUAUUCAGUAACUCUUUUGUUCCAACACCUAAUGUUUCGACAAGAAAGUAAAAUCAAUACAAACCAAUCUUUAACGGGGUGAACAAAAGGAUGAAAACCGAAAGUAGGAGAAUAUUCUUGAAGAAAGAGGAAAAUUCAGCCCAAGAAUUGAUACACUACUUCCAUUUUUUUUUUAGCUCAACUGGUUAUUAUGUGACUGGUAUAACAAGCAAAAGCUAUAUAAAUAACGAUAAAAAAAAAAUGACAUGAACCAAGGAAAUCAAAUGAGGUAAAAUCCAAGUCAUUUCAGUCACAUUCUCCACCCCUUUUGAUAUCGACAUGCAAACAGACAGAAACAAAGCGUACACCAAUAUCCCGUCAAAGAUCAUGAAUUUGAUUGUAAUUAACUACCUAGGUAGUUCCCACAACUCAGUAUUGAAGAAAAAAAAACCCAAAAAAAGGGGGAAAAAAGGAGAAGAAAAAUUGAGACCACUGAAGUAAUAAAUAUCAAUUUCACGUUACUCAAUUUAGAAAAGACACAAAUAUAAAAUGAUCACGACCUGAAAUAUGUUAAGGUUGUUUGGUUGACGGGAAAAAUUGGCAAUCAUUCCCCCUGGAAAUUUCCAAAGCCAAACUGUUUUUUGUUAUUGCCAGACCCUCUAGGGAGAAAGAUGGUUUGGUUAUAGGCAGCUUCAGCUUAGCUUGCUAGCCUCCAUGCCAGCGUGCAAGCAAUGAGAGAAAGGCGACUCCCACGUGCCUAUGGUGCGCCCACCAGUGUCCUAUUUCUCAUCAUUGCUAGAGCCAUUUUUAUUUCAAGAAUUGAUUAUUCUUCCACCCCUCUGAUUAUUUUAGUCAAACGCUAAUACUAAUACUCCUGUAUAUAUAUAGUACUCGAUCAAACAUCGUACCCCCGGUUCUGGUGCCCUUAGUAUGUACAGUAAUUUCUUUCCCAGCACAAGUGUAUUUCAAGAAAAAGUAAAAUUCCUGAUUAUUUUGUGCCAUAAAGGAUGGUGUAUACGCAUGGUAAGUUUGUGGAGAGAAUACCGAAAAAGUAGCAGCAAGAGGGGUUGGGGACAAGAGAUGCUGGAUGAGGAAUGGGAUAUCUGUAUCUCUAUCAAGGGCACCUUUAGGUAUUGCCCUAUCAUAUUGGCCUCAGGUUCAUGAUAUAUAAUACAUGGGCUCAUCACAAUUGCCCUUCUUUUUCAUUGAAAUAUGGUACUUUUCAUGCAUUUAUAGCUGGAGGGCCAUCUCCAUUAAAUUUGCCUCUACACCCCUGUGUGAAAGAUGGGAAAAAACCUACAAGUGUGUUGGCUCGGCCAUGGAUUGGUUUUUUUAAGUAUCAUUUGUGAUGCUAUCGGACAAAAAAUGAGAGAAAAAUUUUCAGGCAUAAAGUUAUGCAGAAUGCACUGCUUUGGCGGUUGAGAGUUUUAGUCAAUUGGAUUAUGCAUUGGAUUCUUGGAAGAUCACUGACUGGUAAAGCCAUUAAUGGUUUUUUCUUUUUUCUUUUUCCGUUUCCAUUACAACUUUUUCCGAUAAAACUAUAUAUAGUAUCAGAAAGAGCUGCACUGAUGUUUUUAUAAAAGCAAGGGUCCACUUCAUCCAUAAACAACUCUCUCUGGGAGCUGCAAACCAACGAUAUGGCGUUCUGGUCAUAUGUGUCCCUGACAUCAUUCUUGCAUCCAACUUUAAAAGCUUUCAUGCAAUGUAUGCGAUUUUGGACUUAAUUUUUGCCCAAUCUUUGUACUGGCAAAGCCGUAAAGCAUUUCAUCCAUGUCAAAAGUUCAAUUUUUUUUUUUUAUUUCUUGGGUCAGUAGAGUAGCUUUGCUUGACUCGGGAGUUUUUUUUAUUUGCUAAAUUAACUCGAGGAACAAUAAUAAUAGUAGUAGUAUUGAUAUCUAGAUCGACAGCUAGAAGACAGUUUAGCACAACAUUAGCGAAUUGUUUAGUGCAUUUAGUAAUGAGUAAUCUCAUCUCAUAUUAACUCAAAAUACAUUAUUUUCAUCCAAAUUGUUUUUCCCAGUAAACUAAAGAGGGAGUCGCUAUAAAACAUCCAGAGAACAAAACUCUCAAACUUCCGCUGCCAAGUUGCCAACUCUUAAAUGCAGUAGUCUUUAUGAUUGGAUAAAGUCAGCAUCUGCCGAGUAAAACCUGAAAUGCAAUCCAAUCAUUUUUUUUUUCUUUUCACUUUUGAGCCAAUAUAUAGCCUACUUUGUGUUUAUUUUGUUUUCUAUUAAGUGUCUCUAGAGCUAGGCACUUGCGAUCUUUUCCUACUCUAGUCUAGCUGCUACAUCUCCAAAGUGAGCGAGCAGCUAUCCAUUUUCGUGACCAGUCCCUUGGCAACCAAUUCAAAGUCUAUGAUUGAAGUUAAAUGAUUGGAAUAAUUAGAGAACAGUUAGUCAUCAUAACCUUAGAGCAUACCUCAAAUGAUACUUACAAGUUACUAGUGUCAUUGUGUAAAGGUACAACAAGUGGACAAUGUCCAUUCCACUUGUGGAAAUUUUGGUGCCAUUCCUUUGGAACAUUCAAACAACAUAGGGUUUGUUGGGAUUGCGAUUUAUUUGUUAAAAUAUAUUUUCUUACAUCAUCAUUAUAAUUUUCAACGCAUCUUUUUAUUUUUUCAAUUGCCUUUUUAUUUCACAUACAUCACAUCACAAAAAGUGCUACAGUAAAAAUAUCUAUAAUAAUUCACAAUCCAAACAAACCCAUAGAUAAUAAACAAUUUGAGGUAUUUUAGUGAUAAAUACAUUAAAUUUAGUGAUUUUUUCAAAUUGAUCAAAUCUAUGAAAUGUUCGACGUAUUUUCUGUCACGAGUACAGAUGAAAUGAUAAUGGUACACAAGAUUUGCACUACACGGAUCCAUAGUUUAUACUAGCGGUUUGAAAUAUACAUACACAACUUACUAAUUUAGUAAUACUAUCAACUACCUUAUUAAUAUAUCUUAUGAAUUGAUACUAAGGAUUGAAAUUCUGACAACAACCCAAAAAAAAAAAAAAAAAAAGUUAGAAGAAAUUGAGUCAAGCCACUAUUUCUCUUCGGGCCGUGGACCUAAAGUUUCUGCCCACUUGCCAAGUUUGGUUGGGCAUACAAAGGUAAACUGACCCCAAAAAACGUAUGUGUUGGUUCAGUCAUUGUCCACCUUGGAUUAAGAACCAACAGUGUCUUGGCUCGAUCAGUGUCCACCAGACUCCACACCCGAACAGCGUCUUGGCUCGAUCAAUGCUCCCACCGAACCCCCUUGCACUGGCAAUUCGGAUAUUUUGUUCUAAAUUCAAGGUCAAACUGGUGUGGACGAAAGGUGGUUGAGGUCUGUUUGGCAUUUGUAUAAUUGCUCUGCUGCCGUCCAGUCCGCUAUCACUAUGUGUGAAAGGCCACCAUCCUCGACGGUCACGGUCUACGGUGUGGGGGGUCCUCAGCUGUGCUAACGGUGCCACCCAACGGGGCUACCAGUCGACAGGUGGGACCUCGUUCUCCUCCACUAUAUUUCCUUGGUGGGACCUUCUUCUUCUGUCUUAGUUUUGAUGAUGAUGAUUUGAUAAUCGUACGAUGUGAAACAGCAAAAAGUUUUUUUACAGGUCAAUUUUCAAUUAGCUAUCUUACUACGAACAAACAAACAAACAAAAAAAGUAC